rfam:Pseudomonas fluorescens F113, complete genome.
CUUGAUGGUGGUUGUGCGCAGGGCGCCCUUGGGCGCGCCGGGCUUGCUAAUUCCACCGGUCGACUAACCUGCGCACAGCCGCCACCCUU